rnacentral:rRNA from 1 species
AGGAUACGGUUAACGGAGCGAAAGCGACGUUCAACCUUAAAAGAAGCAGAGGGGGCUUAGUGGUGGGGUGACUGCGUACCUUUUGUAUAAUGGGUCAGCGACUUAUAUUCUGUAGCAAGGUUAACCGCAUAGGGGAGCCGGAGGGAAACCGAGUCUUAAUUGGGCGUUAAGUUGCAGGGUAUAGACCCGAAACCCGGUGAUCUAGCCAUGGGCAGGUUGAAGGUUGGGUAACACUAACUGGAGGACCGAACCGAC